rnacentral:lncRNA from 1 species
CUCUCUCUCUCUCCAGAAUGCUCAGUGCUUCUUCUUCAAUGUGGAAGAGAGGGAGAGAAGGAAGCAACAGGAGCUGGAAGAGGUAACUUCCCCCAACCCCAGUGCUUCUCUAGACAGCGUUAGACUUCCAGAGCUGUGUCCGCUGUGUGUGUCUGUGUGUCCACUGUCUGUCCAUUCCUGUGUGCGUGUGUCAACUGUCUGUCCAUUCCCAUGUGUGCGUGUGUCCACUAUCUGUCCAUUCCCAUGUGUGUGUGUGUGUCCUCUGUCUGUCCAUUCCCGUGUGACUGGCCCAGUCCAGACUCCUCUGUCUGCUGUGUGAGAGAGCAGAGACUGGCCCAGUCCAGACUCCUCUGUCUGCUGUGUGAGAGAGCAGAGACUGUUAAAGUUAUUAGCAGGUCUGAGUCAGCAGGACUCUCAAAGCCCUGCACUGACCUUGAGGGAUGAGCUGCUGUCCUCUGACAGUGCACCUCUCUAAUCUUCACUCAGCAGAGCCACGCUGUUACUGCGCUUUCACCACAAUCUCACUGUGCUUUACUGCACUG